UCUUACUGAAGGACCUCUAAAAACCAGCCUAUCAAAUUGGCGUUUCAAAACACUAUUUGCUUUGAAACGUUUGGGAAUCAUUUGUUUUGAACCAGUGAUGCGGAGCGUGUAUCAAAUAAACUGCAAAAGUCACGUGAUUUCAGUAAACGAGUUUUUUUCUUGUUUCGAAACGUGUUGAAAUUUCAAUGGUUAUGCCUAUAAAACCUUUUAUACAGACAUUUCAUAUUAUUAGGUGCUUUGUAAAUUACACAGAAUAGAUUAUACUCUCAAUAAAACAUUUGCAAUGUGUUUGUAAAAGGUGUUUUUAUGCAUUUAUGUGCUGAGUUUUUUGUUGCAUUUUCACUUUUCUGACCAGCAGGGGUCACCAGCGUGUCGCGUUUCGAACGCUUCGAAACAGGGAAUCAUUUUCCGAAGCAAUUGAUUCCAUUAAUUUAAAGUGUCGAAAAGCUUCGUUUAUCUGGUAAAGUUCAGUAAGACAGCACAUAACUAAAAAAACCUGAUGGGAAAAUGUGUUUUUGAGAGAGUUGAUCAGAAAGAUGGCCUGUAAACAUAAACAAAACAAAACGUUUUGAUACAGAUUUGUAUAGGCUAUUUAAAUAUAUAUAGGCCUAUAUGUACAAUGUAAUAUUAGAACAACAAAAAGUCAGACUGAUGAUUAGGUUACAUUAAUGCUCCUCCUGAAAUUAAUAUGUGUGUUCAACAUAGGCUGCGGCUGGAUAAGAUACGAGGGUUGUUUUCUUUCCCCCCCUUUUCCUUUUUCAUUGGUCUCUUUCUAUCACAUGAUCAUAAACGGUUAGUUUUAUUUCCUGUUUGUUUUGCAGUCAGUGGGUGAGUAACUAACGCUUAUAUUCUGUUGACAUUAUAAAUUAUAUGACUAUAAACUACUGUUACGAGAUAUCAGACUCAGACCGAUAGUUAGUGGAAAUGAGGAUCUACAUUAUUGCAGCAGAUGGUAAAAAACGGUUAGCCUAAAUAAUAAAGUAGUUUGUGAAGAUAACAGGAUCGUAAUAGAGUUUACAGUUUUUGCCGUUUGAUGGUGGAGAUCGUGAAUGAGAAGAGAUGACAUGAGGAUACACACACCUCGACUUGAUAGCUGUAAGGUAAUCUUAUAAUACACACAGGUAGACGAACUGGAGACGCUGGAGAUUAUGUGACACUAAAGCUUCAAAGUGUGUAUUGUUUUCAGAGAGACACGUGAUCAACGAAAAACGUAGCUUCUCUUUAUUUCCAGUCACGUGAAUGCUUCACUGUCGGGAUGUUUGGGAACCCAGAUCACUAUUUUACAGCUGGAAACAUGAAGGAGUAGCACACAGGAGGGAGAAAAAAAAAAGCUGGAAAAACCGUUUGAGCCUUGAGACCAGGCAGUGAGGAUAGGCGAAGUGUGUGCUUAUAUGUGUGUCUGGAUGAGGUGAAGAUCAAAUGCAGAUGUGGAUGAUGGCUGAAUGAGUGCAGGUGAGAACCAGGAGGGAUGCUGGGAAUUGUAGUCCAGAGUGUGAGUGAGGUAGCGUAGCAGUGAAAGAGGACCGGUGCACUCGUGACAACCUCAUUGCCUUUGUUAUUAUAAAUAAAAUAUUCACAAAAUUCAUUAACAUUGUUAUUGUCAUGCUUUUACAACAAAUGUCAUGGUAAAAGUUUAGUUACUGUGUAUAUCAGCAUAUACUGUACAUCGUUUUACUGCAGGUAUGGUGGAAUUAUGUGGUUACUUAAUUAAAAUCAUGGUAGUUUCCAUAAGGGCUGUUUUGGUCUUGUAGGUCGAUGUGAGCCUGUAAACAUGCAAGUCUUUAAAAGCUUUCAGUAGCUAAAUAUCAAACAAAAAACCUGGUGUUUCAAUUUUUGAUGUGAUUUGAAUGCAAUUUUUGAAUACAAUUUGUGCACCAUCUAUUAGUCAUUAAAAUAUAAUUAAUUGUGAUGCACAUUUUCAUCAGUUCAUUUAUGAAUUUUUAUCUGUACGUAUGUCUCGAAGAGAAAUUGCAGUUGGAAUAAGUUUAGAUUGUACAUUUAGAUUUUAUGACAUAAAUGAAUGGAAUUUUUUUUGUUGUUGUUGUUUUUCAUGGUUGUUUUGCACAAACUUUGCAUAACUGCUUUUGCAUAAUAGACUUUUAAAUUGUUAGCAGCCUGAGAAAUGAAACUUUCACUUGGAUCUUAAAAGUUAUUUGCAUAACCGUUUUCAUAGAGCUGAAGGGUUCACCUUGUGCAAUAACUGACUGAUAAACAUGUUUUUGCACAUUUUUAGAGACAGCAGAGGAGGACUCUCUUCACUCUGAACUCAGCAUUUGUAGCAUGGAUUGACCUCAUGCUGUUUCCAUUUAUGUUUAUCAAUUCUCAUGGUGUCUAUUCAGUAUUUGACCUAAAGUUUUUAGUUUAUUUUGUUGCUUGUUUUGUCUUACUUAAAAUAUAUUAAAACAUAUUUCCCAAGGCAUUAUUAUAUAACCUAACCUGUUAUUAAUAUGAAAUGGUUUAUAUUAUUUAUUAUUUCAAUAUUUUAAUGUCAAAUGCAUGAAAAACCAAUGUUCUUUCUUCUACAAUAUGAAAUUGACUAUUUAUGUAUUUUACUUAUUGUUUUCAUUUUGUUUAAUGUUAGCUUAAAUGGUUUUAGUAAAAAAAUAAAGGUAUAAUGUAUUGUUGUAUAUGUUUUUAUAAAGACAACAUUUUUUUGAGAAUGUGAUAGGUUUAUGGUUUUUUGUGACAUGACUUCACAAGAGUUUCAAAGGAUGUGGUUUUUGUAAGUGAGAGAUGGAGGAAAUGUCAGUCACACAACACAGGCAUUUUUUUUUUCCAUUCUCUUACAGGUACAGUUCACCAAAAAAUUAACCGUUAUAAACUUGUAUGACUUUCUUUCUAAGAACAAUUAAAGUCAAAGGGGGUCAAAGUAGUUUUGGAUCCCAUUGACUUUCUUAGUAUGAAACAGUUGUACAUCACAAAUGUAAAUUACAAAUAAAGUGGAAUAAAUGUAAUUAAAUUUAAAUUGUAAAUGUAAAUACUCUGCAAUGCUUAAUUUCUCAGUUUUGUGCAUUUUGUGUUGCACAUUUCUUGAAUAUACUGUGUAUUUUUUGUUUGUUUGUUUGUUUACAGCGAUCAAAAUAAACAUGCUUUUCAUGCA